rnacentral:lncRNA from 1 species
AUUUAUUUAUUUAUUUGUCAUUUUUUCCAUAUGUCAUUUUUUUCCAUAUGUAAUUUUUUUGUCUUGAUUUAGUGUUAUUUCUCAUUUGAAGACAUUCAAUUGGCUCGUGAAUGUUUUGAUAAUUAUGUACAAUUGAAUUAUACAUGUUGGUUGUAUAAAGCGAGACAAGAGGCAAAAAAAUUAACCAAAGUUGACAAACUCACCAGAUCUUG